UAACUUGAGAGUUUGAUCCUGGCUCAGAACGAACGCUGGCGGCACGCUUAACACAUGCAAGUCGAACGGAAUUAUGGGGCUUGCCCUAUAAUUUAGUGGCGCACGGGUGAGUAACACGUAGAUACCUGCCCAUUGAUGGUGGAUAACUCCGGGAAACUGGAGCUAAUACAGCAUGAGCUCGAGAGAGGAAAGGCCGCAAGGCCGUCAAUGGAGGGGUCUGCGCCUGAUUAGGUAGUUGGUGAGGUAACGGCCCACCAAGCCGAUGAUCAGUAGCUGGUCUGAGAGGAUGGUCAGCCACACUGGAACUGAGAUACGGUCCAGACUCCUACGGGAGGCAGCAGU
rnacentral:rRNA from 1 species